AUUGAACGCUGGCGGCAGGCCUAACACAUGCAAGUCGAGCGGAUGAAGGGAGCUUGCUCCUGGAUUCAGCGGCGGACGGGUGAGUAAUGCCUAGGAAUCUGCCUGGUAGUGGGGGAUAACGUCCGGAAACGGGCGCUAAUACCGCAUACGUCCUGAGGGAGAAAGUGGGGGAUCUUCGGACCUCACGCUAUCAGAUGAGCCUAGGUCGGAUUAGCUAGUUGGUGGGGUAAAGGCCUACCAAGGCGACGAUCCGUAACUGGUCUGAGAGGAUGAUCAGUCACACUGGAACUGAGACACGGUCCAGACUCCUACGGGAGGCAGCAGUGGGGAAUAUUGGACAAUGGGCGAAAGCCUGAUCCAGCCAUGCCGCGUGUGUGAAGAAGGUCUUCGGAUUGUAAAGUACUUUAAGUUGGGAGGAAGGGCAGUAAGUUAAUACCUUGCUGUUUUGACGUUACCAACAGAAUAAGCACCGGCUAACUUCGU
rnacentral:rRNA from 1 species